GACGAACGCUGGCGGCGUGCUUAACACAUGCAAGUCGAACGGAAAGGUCCUGCCUUUGUGGGGUGCUCGAGUGGCGAACGGGUGAGUAACACGUGAGUAACCUGCCCUUGACUUUGGGAUAACUUCAGGAAACUGGGGCUAAUACCGGAUAGGAGCUCCUGCUGCAUGGUGGGGGUUGGAAAGUUUCGGCGGUUGGGGAUGGACUCGCGGCUUAUCAGCUUGUUGGUGGGGUAGUGGCUUACCAAGGCUUUGACGGGUAGCCGGCCUGAGAGGGUGACCGGCCACAUUGGGACUGAGAUACGGCCCAGACUCCUACGGGAGGCAGCAGUGGGGAAUAUUGCACAAUGGGCGGAAGCCUGAUGCAGCAACGCCGCGUGCGGGAUGACGGCCUUCGGGUUGUAAACCGCUUUCGCCUGUGACGAAGCGUGAGUGACGGUAAUGGGUAAAGAAGCACCGGCUAACUACGUG
rnacentral:rRNA from 1 species